GAAUUUCCAGAGCAGAUCAAAUAGUCCAGCGCUAAACACGGUUAGAAAAGAUAUAGACCAAAGAUCUUCUAACAGUGUAAAGCUGUGCUUGGCAGAAUGAGAAAACAUAUGGGUAGUUGUGAUGCAACAAAUAAUGAUGCAAUGUAUUUAGGAGUUCCAGGACCUCUGUUCACAUAGGCAUUGACUACAUGCUGACAAUGAAAAGCCACAGAUAGGUUCUUUGAUAGAACCACUGAUAAGCUUAAGACUAAAUAGAUGUAGGAAAGGAAAUUCUUGCUUUACGAAGCAUAUAUUCUCCACAGGUGUUCUCUUAGCUGUGUCAGACCUGAUUUAAAGAAACUGCUUCUGUGACUGAAGAUCUGAGACAGUUGUCUCUGAGUUAGUUUGGAUUCCUUUCAUAAUCCAUGGAAAGGGUGGUGUUUAUAGGCUGUGAUUGUUCUGAUCUCUCUUUGAUACCUACCCCAGGAUGAGAUGAACUUAAUAAAUACUUCUCUUUCUCUCUAGGAGCUGUGAAGUCAUAGACAAGUAGCAGAGAUGGAGAAGUCCCACCAGUAGUUUUAAGUUCAGUUCCUCUCCCACCUCCCAUUAAGCAGCAAAGCUCUUCUUACUCCUGGUGUGCUGCAAGGAACUGUGUUGCCUGCUGUGGUUAUGAAUCAAAGUUCUGCUCCAAAUCAGGCCAUUUAAUACGCCUGGGAUGUGGGUACCACUGCAAUAGUCCCAAGAAACGCUCAUUUCAGUGUGGAAAAAAAUGCUGGACUUGUUGGCUGUCCCCAAUCCAGGUGAAGAGCUCUGCAGAAAUUACCUGAGGACUGAAUAUGGCACUUUUGCCAAAUUAUGAGGACUCGGCCAGGAGAUUGUGCCAUCCUGGGCGGAUGGAGGAAGGGGGAAGAGCACGAUGCCAUCCAUAGCCAUUACUUACUGGCAGGAGGAGGAGCUGGCCCUUCAUUACACUUAAAAUGGAGUUUGAUUCCUGGUAGUGGGUCAGUGGUGAUUAUACUGCUCAGAUAAAUGCAGGAAAGGAAGGACUGCCCAUCUGGGCUGACCAUGUGUGAGACACACAGCCCGACAGUGCAAAUGUUCAGGUAGGUGGAGCUGGUGGACUUCACCUGGCACUGGUGAGACUGGGUCAAACGUGAUGGGUGCUUCACAUGGUAAGAUGGGGGCUUAUUGUCCACAGGCUGGGUUCAGGGAAAAACUUUCGUGUGAGGAGAAACUGAAGAGUCUGGCCCAGCUAAUAAGUGGAAUAAUUAAUAAAGGAAAUAUAAUAGUGUAUCA
rnacentral:lncRNA from 1 species